rnacentral:rRNA from 1 species
UACGUAGGGGGCAAGCGUUGUCCGGAAUCAUUGGGCGUAAAGAGCGUGUAGGCGGCCAGAAAAGUCCGCUGUGAAAACUCGAGGCUCAACUUCGAGCUGUCGGUGGAAACUUUCUGGCUAGAGUCCGGAAGAGGAGAAUGGAAUUCCUGGUGUAGCGGUGAAAUGCGCAGAUAUCAGGAAGAACACCCGUGGCGAAGGCGGUUCUCUGGCCCGAUACUGACGCUGAGGCACGAAAGCGUGGGGAGCAAACAGG